rnacentral:rRNA from 1 species
GACGAACGCUGGCGGCGUGCUUAACACAUGCAAGUCGAACGGAAAGGCCCUGCUUUUGUGGGCUGCUCGAGUGGCGAACGGGUGAGUAACACGUGAGUAACCUGCCCUUGACUUUGGGAUAACUUCAGGAAACUGAGGCUAAUACCGGAUAGGAGCUCCUGCUGCAUGGUGGGGGUUGGAAAGUUUCGGCGGUUGGGGAUGGACUCGCGGCUUAUUAGCUUGUUGGUGGGGUAGUGGCUUACCAAGGCAUGGAGGGGUAGCCGGCCUGGGAGGGGGACCGGCCCCAUUAGGACUGAGAUACGGCCCAGACUACUACGGGAGGCAGCGGAGGAGAAGAGUGCACAGUGGGCGGAAGCCUGGUGCAGCAACGCCGCGUGCGGGAAGACGGCCUUCGGGUUGUAAACCGCAUCCGCCUUUGACGAAGCGUGAGUGACGGUAAUGGGUAAAGAAGCACCGGCUAACUACGUG